UACGGAGGGUGCGAGCGUUGUUCGGAAUCACUGGGCGUAAAGCGCGUGUAGGCGGCCCACUAAGUCUGAUGUGAAAGCCCGGGGCUCACCCCCGGAAGUGCAUUGGAAACUGGUGGACUCGAGUCCCGGAGAGGAGAGUGGAAUUCCUGGUGUAGCGGUGAAAUGCGUAGAUAUCAGGAGGAGCACCGGUGGCGAAGGCGGCUCUCUGGACGGUGACUGACGCUGAGACGCGAAAGCGUGGGGAGCAAACAGG
rnacentral:rRNA from 1 species